CCAAUAGCGUAUAUUAAAGUUGUUGCAGUUAAAAAGCUCGUAGUUGAAUUUCGGGGUUAGUAAGUUGGUCGUGCCACUGGUAUGUACUGGCUUUACUGAUUCCUCCUUCUUGUAGAACCGUAAUGCCAUUAAGUUGGUGUUGCGGGGAAACAGGACUGUUACUUUGAAAAAAUUAGAGUGUUUAAAGCAGGCUAACGCUUGAAUACAUUAGCAUGGAAUAAUGAAAUAGGACGCUCGAUCCUAUUUUGUUGGUUUCUAGGAUUGACGUAAUGAUUAAUAGGGAUAGUUGGGGGCAUUAGUAUUCAAUUGUCAGAGGUGAAAUUCUUGGAUUUAUUGAAGACUAACUACUGCGAAAGCAUUUGCCAAGGAUGUUUUCAUUAAUCAAGAACGAAAGUUAGGGGAUCGAAGACGAUCAGAUACCGUCGUAGUCUUAACCAUAAACUAUGCCGACUAGGGAUCGGAUGAUGUUAAUUUUUUAAUGACUCAUUCGGCGCCCUACG
rnacentral:rRNA from 1 species